GCCCCCUUUGUCUAAUGGUCAUGACGUCAGACUUCUACAUUUGGUAUUUAUCUGGAGGUUGCGAGUUCGAGUCUCGCAGGGGGUU